rnacentral:misc_RNA from 1 species
AACGGUCUAUACCUGCGGUACCUGCGGAGGGAUCAUUAGUGAACGCCCUCGCGGGCUUAUAACUAUUCCAAACCUCUGUGAACCGUGCCCUUCGGGGCUAUUUUACAAACAUGGUGUAAUGAACGUCAUAUAUCAUAACAAAACAAAACUUUCAACAACGGAUCUCU